rnacentral:lncRNA from 1 species
AAUGAAUAUUGUUCACGACUUUCUUACAAAAAUCUGCUAGAGAAAGGCGGAACAGACCUCCGCAUUCAUAACCUUUUCCAACGAAAGGUCCAUAUUUCGUAACUACUACUUUAUUAGACUCGAACACCAACUUAAACCCUUCUCUACACAGAAGGGAGCCACUAACGAGAUUCUUCUUGAUGGCGGGGACAUGCUGCACGUUCUUCAGCUGCACGAUCCUUCUCGAAGUAAACUUCAGAUCAACCGUGCCAACACCAAGAACAAAAGCACUCGCGCCAUUCCCCAUCAAUACGGACCCGCGACCGGUGGCCUGAUAAGAAGAGAACAAUGACAAGUCAGCACACACAUGAAUAUUUGCACCCGUGUCCACCCACCAAUCGGUGGACUGACAAACUGUAAAUACAGUAAGUAAAUUACCGUACCCAGAUGCACCACUUUCAUUGUUGCCCAUAAUCAUGUUUGCAGACUUGGAGUCCUGCGCCGGCUUCUUGUACUUGUUUGGGCAUUUGUUCGCCCAAUGUUCCUCUGAACCACAAGUAUAGCAGCCAUCUCCCUUCUUAUUCUUCUUGAAGGGCUUCUUCCCCUUCUUCUUGAAGUCGGUAUUCUGUUGGACAGAGUUCUUUCCCUUGGGCUUGUGAGAAUUGAAGUUCCUCUGAUGUACCAUAUUGGCAGCAGAAGAGCUUUCCACCGCUUUUCCAUUGGAGUCCUUUGCUCUCGAGUUCUGCUCAACACUCAGAUGGCCGAUGAUGUCCUCUACUGAGAACUCACGCCUCUGAUGUUUCAGAGUAGUAGCAAAGUUUCUCCAGGAAUUAGGGAGCUUAGCAAUUAUACAGCCCGCGACAAACUUGCCCGGCAAAUUGCACUUAAGAACCUCAAGUUCCUUAGCUAUGCAUAUUAUCUCAUGAGCUUGUUCCAAUACAGAACGGUUGUCAACCAUCUUGUAAUCGUGGAACUGCUCCAUAACAUACAUCUCACUCCCAGCAUCGGUGGCCCCGAAUUUAGAUUCGAGCGCCUCCCACAAGUCCUUGGCAACAUGCAUAUGUAAAUAUGCAUCAACCAGCUUAUCUCCGAUCACGCUAAUGACUGCUCCAAGGAAUAGGACGGUGGCCUCCUUAAACAUCUUCUCCUGUUCAGGAGUGAUAGUUUCCGUAGGAGUGACACCGGCUACCCAGAACACGUUCAUAGCCGUGAGCCAUAAGGUGGUUCUCGUUUGCCAACGCUUGAAAAAAGUACCGGUAAACUUAUCCGGUUUCAGUGCAGCAGCAAAACCAUUACUCGAAAAAUUCCUACAGACAUUAGGUUUUUGGAUUGUUGAGUAAAUAGGCAAUUUUCCGAGUAGAUUAAUCCACAAAAUAAUAACUAGCAUGGCAUUGACUAGACUAAUGACAUACUGAUCUUGAGCUAACCUAGCACAUACUACGCAUAUAGUGGAUACAUCUAUGCAAACAAGUAGUACUGCUAGAAUAAAUACGAACAAGAGGAUAAACGAGUCAUACCCUCCAAUCGGCCAGUUGGCCGUAGCAGCAGCGGCGGCGGAGGCAGUAUCCUCUGCCGUCUUCUUCUCGGCUUUCUCGCGGAGACGAUCAGCUUCGCUUGGUGAAGACAUGGCGAUGACGAGGGCGANNNNNNNNNNNNNNNNNNNNNNNNNNNNNNNNNNNNNNNNNNNNNNNNNNNNNNNNNNNNNNNNNNNNNNNNNNNNNNNNNNNNNNNNNNNNNNNNNNNNNNNNNNNNNNNNNNNNNNNNNNNNNNNNNNNNNNNNNNNNNNNNNNNNNNNNNNNNNNNNNNNNNNNNNNNNNNNNNNNNNNNCCCAAAAACCUAAUCGCCCCUCUCCCGUACAGGAACCGGAGAGGCGAGGUUUCGGAGGCCUGCUCUCCCGUCGACCGUGUACGCGGUAAACGGGACGGAGUCGCCGGCGGCGGCAGCAGUUCAAGGAACGAACCCGUGAGGCAGAUGUGAUCUGAUUUCGUGACGGCUAGGGUAGGCGAUCGCGUGCUUAUAAAGGCGGCUGGGUGGAGAGUCCGAGUUGGUAACGAUCACGAUCCGACGUCUCGGAUCGUUUCCUUGUCCGUUACGUAUUCUCCGUCCCUGACCGGCAAAAAUAAGCGCGUAGGUAUGAGCUCGGCUCGGCUCAUUCCCGCAACCCGCAACCCGCGACGCGGCGGGCGGCGGAGGAGGAGUGCGCGAGGGCACCUUCUCUUCUCACUCUCCAAUAGCAUGUGGAAGAGAGACCCUUAUAAAGGGGUCCAAACUCUCCUCCACUAGCGGGGUGGGACUAAACUCCCACCACCUUGCCAUGCCACCACCUACAUGGGACCUUGUAGAUUUUCUGAAAUUCUCUAGUGGGCCUAAGGCCCACCUCCAAAUUUCAACAUAUUUUACUUUCUCAUAAUCCUAUUUCUUUUCACAGGUCAACCGUUACCCAUCUUCUUGAUGUCGGGAACCUCUAUCCAACUAUCGAUGACAACCAUUACAAGUCUACUCUGAAUGGUUGAUAUGGCUGUGUCCAUGCGUGCAAGCGUUAUGCAAAUAAUACAAGCACUCUUGCAAGAUUUGUUUUUGCAGAGUGGCUUUGCUGGUCCUCUAGACAGUCGCAAUGAGAGCAACUUAACAGCUAGGUUAAGUUGCAUAUCUAAGUACUUGCGCCUUAUGUGUAAUGGACAUGAGUAGGUUAGAUCUCUAGGUGCUUUGUUUGUGUUUGCCCGUCAAUUAGUAAGCCUGCGUGACCGUCCAUGCCUGUGUGACCAUCAAUUAGUAAGUGACUUGUUUAUGGUUAUAUGCUAUGCACUCUGCCCUACGUAUUGUUUCUUGAUUCAGUCGAUGUUUGCGCUAAAAAAAAACGUAUAUCAUGCAUCUGAUUGCAAACGCUCUGUGCACAUCAAAAGGACGCAAUGUCAAGGAGAGAAGGUUUUUGGCACCAGAAAAUUUUAUGCCGUAACAGAUGAUGUAAAAUUGCUGCCAAAAAUACGAUUAGGGGAGGCAGGGAAGCGGAUCCAACGGCAGGAGGAGCUUGGUCGGGAUGGGGCAUCCUGCGUUGACGGGAUAUGGUACGGCACCUUUUCUUAUCUGUUGGAGAUGCUUUUACGAUCAGAUCGAACAGUGUCAUGAUCCGAUCUAGAAGGAGGGGAGUAGAGAUGAGAGAUGAACAAGGGAGAGGAUGAGAGGAGCAGAGCAGGUGAGAAGAUAGGCUUGCGAGAGGGGAAAGGAGUUCACACUUUUCUCAUUUGUUGCGUUCAUCAGCCACACACGUACAAGUAAGCCCCGGUUGGCGGGUUACUCACGCACUCUCUGGACGGUGGGCCAUGCCCAACACACGGGACACACACACCUCUCCUGACUGAUGGGCCAUGCCCAACACACGGGACACACACACCUCUCCUGACUGGUGUGCCAUGCCCAACACACGGGACAACACAUGGGACUUGGUCGUUGCAAGUUCAGGGUUCUGAAUCUGAACCUAAACUUGCAUUUCUUCAGUCUGUUGUAGCUGGGUCUAUAAGCGUGACAUUUGCCCCCUCUUGGGCAGCUUCGUCUUUGUCUUCCCAAAGGCACGGAUCGGGGUAGCGCUGCUUGAGGACGUAGUAGUCUUUCCAGGUGGCAGCCUGCGGCCGCAUGGAGUCCCAUUGCACUUGUAUUUGUACGACAGGGGCGACGCCUUUCUUCAUCAUGCGGCGAUCCAGAAUGGCCACCGGGACCCGCUCGGCGGCGGUGAGGUCCGGAAUCUGGGGCAGCUCGGAGAAGACAGACGUGUAAUCUGGCACGAAUGGCUUGAGUUUGGAGACGUGGAAUACCGGGUGGAUGCGGCCGUCCCACGAUAGCUGAAGACGGUACGCCUAGGAGGGGUUUUGACCCGAACCCGUGAUUUUUACCCUCGUCGGAGUUGGAUCCAUGUGUAGCUUACAUGCGUAUUCGGUUAAACCCGAUCGGGAUUACAUUCCAUCCAAAUCCAUCCCAAAUCGCAGGGAUUUUGCCGGGUUUUGGCCCAUGCCUUCCCACACGUGAAAGAAAACCUCUCGUCUCGUCUUCUCGCUGAGAAGAAAAAAGAAAGGAGGGCGAAAGCUGCGGGGGCGGCACCGGCGCGGAAGAACUAGGCGACUGAAGACCGGCUGACGCACCAUCCAUCUACCUUCCCCUCCCCCAACCUCUCCCUAAAUCAGUAGGCGAUCUACGACCCUGUUCUUCCAUCCUGGCGUGAGCUCGACAGCCACGGUGGCCUACUCCGGAUCAUCCCCCGGUAUGGUUGAUUUGGUGCUGCAGUGUAAGGCCAUCAAUGGAAGGUUUCCCGGGACUAACCAAACAGACUAUGAUGUACAGGGAUUAGCAGGGUUUGUUGGUUAGGGGAUUGGGUGACGAGGUGGGGAACACCAAAUCCCUGGGUGGGUCUAAUCCUCUAGAGGUUUGGUUCCACUCAAAUCGAACAAAACCUAAUGGGAAAAGGUCCAAAGAACUUGUACGCCAAUUUACGGCACGGGUGGUUGGCGACGAAGGAUUGCGCGUAUGGAUGUAUCUUGAGGAGGACUUGUUCGCUGACCUCGAAGGCAUGCUAUGCUCGGUGGCGAUCUACUUGUUUCUUGUAUCGCGCCUCCGCGCGUGCCAGUUAAGUGCAUAACAACUCGGUGUGCGCCGCCCAGUCUAAAUUACCCGCGGGCGCAUCUGCGGGCAGGGCGUCGCUGAAGGCAGGAAGACCCCUAAGAUUGGGCUCACGACCGUACAUCGCCAUGAACGGAGAGCAAUUGAGUGACACAUGGUGGGUGGAGUUGUACGAGAACUCCGCCGCGGAAAGCGAUUGGUGCCAUUGCUUGGGAGUAUCAUGCACGACGCACCGGAUAUACAUCUCUAAGCAUUUGUUGAUGCACUCCAUUUGACCGUCGGUCUUGGGGUGAUACAUCGUGGAGUAGAGCAGCUUGUUGCCAGCGGCGGUGAGAAUUUCCCGCCACAUGGCAAUGGUGAAGACCUUGUCGUGAUCGGGGACGAUGGAGUGUGGCACGCCGUGGAGCUUGAUGGUGUUCUCCCGGAAGGUGUGUGCGACCUCAACCGCGUUGAAGGGGUGUCGCAUAGAGUUAUUUAUCCCAAACUACCACACUUGGGGCUAGGGUAACAGGUUAGUAUCAGAUUUGAGCCAGGUCACAAAAGACCACCAAAAAUGAGCCUAAUGCGUAACACAAAGCACUGAUUGUCAGAUAACCUCGUUAAAACAGUCAAACUGACUGGUUGGGCCCACCUGUAAGGCUGACGUGGCGACGACUAAACACUUUGACCAACUGCUAUGGGAAAUAAUGUGCAGGCCCCACCUGUCAAUGACUAGACAAUCAUCUUCUUCCCAUGUCUCUUUCAGCCAGCUGCAACCUGCGAUGGUGACGCUUCUCAGUUUGCGCCCCGUCGUCGGCGUCAAUAUCGCUGGAAUCCAACGGCAUCGCUACCCCAAAGAGGCCGCAGCUGCCGGCAGAAGAUCCAUCCAUCCAUUUCGGUGCGGCGGCGGCAGCUGACCGCAUAUUGGCGCUACCGGAGGCGCUGCAACUGCACAUCCUUGCUCCCGUUGCCGUCGGCAGUCCGCACGGGGGCGCUCUCCCGCGCGUGGCGCGACCUUUGGAAGCGCCGCUGGCAGGACAACGGGAACUCCGCCCCUUCCUUCAUCACCACCUCCGCCCCUGCUCCUCUCCGUCGUCCAAGAAACUGCUCGAUUGCCUCGAGCAACGCCAAUCCCAGGAGCGGUGCGGGCGGUUCGACUGCUACUCGCUCCUCGCCGACAACCCCGCCAUGGCCGCUAUCUCGAUGCCGCCGCGUGAUGCGACGUCGAGGACCUCUUCGUCGAGCUAUCGGAGAAUCCGCCCUCGCCUGAUACCGCCCCGAAGGCCACCACCCUCCGCUUCCCCUUCCCGACGGUGGCCGGCUCCUGCCUCGCACGCCUCUCGCUCCGCGGCAUUGGGGUCUCCGGCUUCCACAGGAAGGCCGCACGGCCGUGCUCCGCCCUCGAGGUUGUCUGCCUCCACUCUGUCCCCAUCGACGACACGGGCUUGGCUUGGAUGUUGGCCCCGUGCCCUCGUCUUCGUGCCAUAUUUUUAAAUAUUGCAUUUUUUUAUUCUUUUCGAAAAAUAUUGCACAAAAUUCAUAAUUUUCAAAAAUAAUACGGCCUCGCCUUAGGCGUGGUCGAUUGGAACCUAUCGGCCUAGCCAAGACCAAUAAGUCCCAAUCGGCCUUGGUUAGGCCGAUAGGCCUCUCAGCCUGGCUUUCGAGAGCUUAUCGGCCUUGGCGAAGCCAAUAAGCUCCUGUCGGCCUUGGGUAGGCCAAUAAGUCCCUAUCAGCCUUGGCUUAGGCCAAUAAGGACUAAUUGGUGUUGGCUAGGCCAAUAGGUGCAUGGGAUUUUUUAUGCAUGUUAGCUAUUUUCGAGGCUCCAUUUCCCCGCCCCGUUUUCCGCCAAUUUACCCCCCAUACUUUCCCGCCAAUUUAUCCCUCCAUACUUUCCCGCCAAAAUUGGCGGGAAAUGCUGACGGAAAAAGAAGAAGAUUCGAAGCAAUCCGACGAAUCGGCUAUGGCGACGACGUUUCACCUUGUUUCUGACGACGGCGACGGGGGGCGAACAGGCUCGACGUCGGGCAGAAGGGCGGCGAUGACCAAGGAAGGCAAUGAGGUAGCGGCGAUGCCGGCGGGCGGUACGGUCACCAGGAGGUGCGUUGGCGGAGAGGCAGUCAGAGUGUAGUUAUGUUGAAUCUGUGUGUCUUGUUUAGGUAGCAAAAGUAGUUAGACGUGCAUGAUCAUGAUCGUGGCAGCGUCGCACUAUCAGACGAAACUUGCUCUUGCCAUGCCUUCUCUUUCCCUUUCUUCAUUUGGUUGGUGCCACGAGCCAAGGCACCAAUACAAGUCUAUGGUUGAUAAACUUGGCCAAUUUGAAAAAAACGAAGAAUAGAUCGCUACCCCUCUACUACGACAACUUUCUCUAGUCCCCUCUCUCUCUAUCUUCUCUCUUGUCUCUCUCCCUCUCUCUCUCUCUCUCUUCUUGCAAUUUCCAUGCUUUAUCUACUCUAGCUCUCUAGCUACCUUACAAAAUCAGUGAUGUGUGCGUACAAUAUAACGUGUCUUGUUGUGUUUGUGGUUUUCGUUAAAGAAGACAAUGUCGUCUUGCUGAGCUCUAGCCCCCUAGGCAGGUCCGUGGAUCGGAAGUAGAGAAAAGACUCGGGUCAGGUGGCACCAGCCCACGAGUAUGUAUCACCAAGCAACUGCUAGCCCGAGCUCCAUGUUUGUGGUAGCCAUCAAAGGAGGUUGACGCGCAUGCAUGCAGCCUGCUGCAUCUUGUCGUUUGUCUCUCAUGUUUCCAGCGUUUGAUUUAUAGUUUCCAUGCAGUUGGCCUGUAGUCUGCAGCAGCUGUCCAUGCAGCCUUGUUGCAACAUCUCGAGAGGCCAACGCCGAUUAGGACUUAUUGGUCUUGGCUAGGCCGAUAGGUUCCAAUCGGCCACGCCGAAGCCGAGGCCAUAUUAUUUUUGAAAAUUCUGAAUUUUGUGCAAUAUUUUUCAAAAAGAAUAAAUAAAAUGCAAUAUUAAAAAAAAAUAGCCGUCUUCGCAUCCUCGGCUUGCACUCCUGCUCGGCCCUCUGUCGAAUCGCCAUGAUGAAGGCGACGGGGCGCAAACUGAGGAGCGUCACCAUCAUAGGGUGCAGCUGGCUAAAAGAGAUAUGGGAAGAUGAUGACUGUCUAGUCAUUGAUAGGUGAGGCCCGCACCUUAUUUGCCACAUCGGUUGGUCAUAGCGUUUAGUCAUCGCCAUGUAAGCCUUACAGGUGGGCCCAACCGGUGAGUUUGACAGUUUUCGUGAGGUUAUCUGACAAUCAGUGCUCCGCGUUGUGUAUUAGAUUCAUUUUUUAUGGUUUUUUAUGACCCGACUCAAAUCUGUUACUAGCCUGUUAGCCUAACCCCAAGUGUGGUGGUUUUGGGUAAAUAAAUCUGUUGCGGAGGAAAUAAAUGGGCGUACUUGGUGAGCCAGUCGACGAUGACCAUGAUCGCGUCAUAGCCGUCGGACUUGGGAAGCCCUUCGACGAAAUCCAUGGUGAGGUCAUGCCACGGCUCCUGCGGAAUUGGCAGCGGUUGCGGCUUGCUCGCAGGAUGCGUCUGUUAAUGCUUCGCGUGCUGACAGAUUGGACACUAUCUGACGAAGUCCUCGACGGCACGCUUGAGGCCUGGAUAGGCGAAGAUCUUGCGCAUCCGGUGAUAGGUUGCGGUGGCGCCGGAGGGGCCCUGAAGGCGCUGUGUUGCAGCGCGGCGAUGAGCUCCGUUUCGAGGGUGGUAUUCGUGCCGAUCCGGAGCCGGCCUCGCUGCCGGAUGACCCCUUGUUGCAGAGUGCGGCCUCGUUCAUCAGUGUCGCACAUGGCCAACUUGGCGAGGAGUUCAUGUGCGUCCACAUCCGUUUCGUACGAAUUCACGACCUCUUGAAGCCACUGCUUCUGGCAGGCAGAUAGGGCAUCUAGAAAGAGAAGGUGCCACACCUUGGAGAGCACGUCGUCGGCGCCGUUGUUGGCUCCCUUCUUGUAGAGGAACGUGAACUGUAACCCCACCAUCUUGGACACAGCCUUGCACUGGAUGUCCAUGGCGAGUUGCUGUGUCCAAGGGAGCACAUGCUUUUGUGGCGAGUGACGAUUUCAAAUGAUGUGUUCUCAAGGUAUGGGUGCCACAUGUCGAUCGCCAUCAUCACGACGAGGAACUCCUUCUUGUAGGCCUAGAGCUUCUGGUUUCGCACACUGAGCGCCUUGCUCAGGUAGGCGACGGGGUGGCUGUCCUAGACCAGCAUGACUCCCAUGCCAGUGCCGCACGCGUCCGUCUUGAUGGCAAACGGGCAUUCGAAGUCUGGGAGCACGAGCACGGGCGUGCUCACCAUGGCAUGCUUGAGCAUCUCGAAUGCCGCAUGCGCCUCGCCGUCCCAAUGGAAGCCUUUCUUCGUGAGCAGACAUGUCAGGGGCUUCGCAAUGAUGCCAUAGUGUGGCACAAAUUUGUGGUAGUGGCCCACGAGGCCAAGGAAACCAUAGAGCUCCAUGGCGCUGGUCUUGCUCGCAUCCAUGGCCACACCCUCCUUGAAGAUGACGUGUCCCAUGUACUCAAUUUGCGUCUACGCGAACGAGCACUUGGAGGCCUUGGCGAAGAGUUGUUGUUCCCGGAGGAGGUGGAGGACGUCGCACAAGUGUUCUUCAUGUUCCUGUAAGUCCACAUUUAAUACCAAGAUAUCAUUGUUGAAAUUAGUAGUGGGCCUUAGGCCCAUAUUUCAUAAAUCUCCAAGGGUCCAUGUAGGUGGUGGAAUUACAAGGUGGUGGUGGAAAGUUUAGUCCCACCUCGCUAGUGGAGAAGAAGUUGGACCCCUUUAUAAUGGUCUCUCUUCUACAUGCUAUUGAAGAGUGAGAAGAGAAGAUGCCCAUGCGCACUCCUCCUCCGCUGCCCGCCGCGGGUCGCGGGAAUGAGAGCUGAGCUCAUACCUACGCGCUUAUUUUGGCCGGUCAGAAACAGAGAAUACGUAGCGUAUGCGGCAUGAUCUGAGACGUCGGAUCAGAUCACAUCUGCCUCACGUGCUCGUUCUUUUGCUGCUGUCGCCGGCGACUCCGUCCUGUUCACCGCGUACACGAUCGCCAGGAAAGCAGGCCUCCGAAACCCCGCCUCUCCGGUUCUUGUACGGGAGAGGGGCGAUUAGGUUUUUGGGGAACGAUCACACGACUGCUCGCCUCCGCCCGUCUGCUUCGUCUUCGUCAUCGUCAUGGCUGAACCAUCCAAGGCCGAUCGUCUCGCCGUUGAAGCUGAGAAGAAGAGGGCAGAGGAUGCUACCGCUGCGUCCGCUGCCAACGCCGCUACUACGGUCAACUGGCCUACUGGAGGGUAUAGCUCGUUUAUCACACUCCUGUUCGUUUCAAUCCUAGCAAAACUACUGGCAUGCAUAGAUGUAUCAAUUAUAUGCGUAGUAUGUGCUAGAUUAGUUCAUGAUGAGUAUGCCAUUAGUCUAGUCAAUGUCAUGCUAGUUAUUAUCUCGUGGAUUAAUCUACUCGGAAAAUUGCCUAUUUACUCAACAAUCCAAAAACCUAAUUUGUGUAGGAAUUUUCCGAGUAAUGGUUUUGCUGCUGCACUGAAACCGGAUAAGUUUACCGGUAGUUAUUUCAAGCGUUGGCAAACGAAAACCGCCUUAUGGCUCACGACUAUGAACGUGUUCUGGAUAGCCGGUGUCAUUCCCACGGGAACGAUCUCUGCUGAACAGUAGAAGAUGUUCGCGGAGGCCACCGUCCUAUUCCUUGGUGCAGUUAUAAGCGUGAUCGAAGAUAAGCUGGUUGAUGCAUAUUUACAUAUGCAUGCCGCCAAAGAGCUGCGGGAGGCGCUCAAAUCUAAAUUCGGGCCACUGAUGCUGGGAGUGAGAUGUAUGUUAUGGAGCAGUUCCACGAUUACAAAAUGGUGGACAACCGUUCUGUAUUGGAACAGGCUCAUGAGAUAAUAUGCAUAGCUAAAGAACUUGAGGUUCUUAAGUGCAAUUUGCCGGGCAAGUUUGUCGCGGGCUGUAUAAUUGCUAAGCUUCCUAAUUCCUGGAGGAAUUUUGCCACUACUCUGAAACAUCAGAGGCGUGAGUUCUCAGUAGAGGACAUCAUCGGCCAUCUGAGUGUUGAGCAGAAUUCGAGAGCAAAGGAGUCCAAUAGAAAAGCGGCCGAAAGCUCUUUUGUUGCCAAUAUGGUACAUCAGAGGAACUUCAAUUCCCACAAGCCCAAGGAAAAGAAUUCUAUCACAGAAUACCGACUUCAAGAAGAAGGGAAAGAAGACCUUCAAGAAGAAUAAGAAGGGAGAGGGCUGCUUUAUUUGUGGUUCAGAUGAACAUUGGGCGAACAAGUGCCCAAACAAGUACAAGAAGCCAACGCGGGACUCUAAGUCUGCCAAUAUGAUUGUGGGCCACAAUGAAAGUGGUGCAUCUGGGUACGGUAAUUUACUUACUGUAUUUUCAGUUUUUCAGUCCACCGAUUGGUGGGUGGACACGGGUGAAAAUAUUCAUGUGUGUGCUGACAUCUCAUUGUUCUCUUCUUAUCAGGCCACAUGCCGCGGGUCCGUAUUGAUGGGGAAUGACACGAGUGCUUCUGUUCUUGGUGUUGGCACGGUAGAUCUGAAGUUUACUUCGGGAAGGAUCGUGCAGCUGAAGAACGUGUAGCAUGUUCCCGCCAUCAAGAAGAACCUCGUUAGUGGCUCCCUUCUAUGUAGAGAAGGGUUUAAGUUGGUAUUCGAGUCUAAUAAAGUAGUUCUUACGAAAUAUGGACUUUUUGUUGGUAAAGGUUAUGAAUGUGGAGGUCUGUUCCGCCUUUCUCUUGCAGAUUUUUGUAAUAAAGUCAUGAACAAUAUUCAUUCGAGUGUUAAUGAAUCUGAAGUUUGGCAUUCACGUCUUUGUCACAUAAGUUUCGGUGUUAUGUCGCGGCUAGCAAAACUGAAUUUAAUCCCAACUUUCACUUUAGCCAAAGGUUCUAAGUGCCACUCGUGUGUGCAAGCAAAGCAACCUCGCAAGCCUCACAAGGCUGCAGAGGAGAGACACUUGGCACCAUUAGAACUCAUACAUUCCGAUCUUUGUGAGAUGAAUGGUAUGUUGACUAAAGGUGGAAAGAAAUAUUUCAUGACAUUGAUAGAUGAUUCUACUAGAUAUUGCUAUGUGUAUACGUUAAAUACUAAAGAUGAGGCUCUACACUACUUUAAAAUCUAUAAGGCAGAAGCUGAGAAUCAACUUGAAAAGAAAAUUAAACGAGUCUGGUCUGAUCGUGGUGGAGAGUACUUCUCAAACGAAUUUGAUUCUUUUUGUGAGGAACACGACAUUAUUCAUGAGAGGACGCCUCCCUAUUCACCCCAGUCAAAUGGGGUUGCCGAGCGGAAAACCGUACUCUAACUGAUUUGGUUAACGCCAUGUUAGAUACAUCAGGUUUAUCCAAGGCAUGGUGGGGCGAGGCUAUAUUGAUCGCGUGUCAUGUCCUGAAUAAGGUUCCUACAAAAGAUAAUGAGGUCACUCCCUAUGAGGAGUGGUCGAAGAGAAGGNNNNNNNNNNNNNNNNNNNNNNNNNNNNNNNNNNNNNNNNNNNNNNNNNNNNNNNNNNNNNNNNNNNNNNNNNNNNNNNNNNNNNNNNNNNNNNNNNNNNNNNNNNNNNNNNNNNNNNNNNNNNNNNNNNNNNNNNNNNNNNNNNNNNNNNNNNNNNNNNNNNNNNNNNNNNNNNNNNNNNNNNNNNNNNNNNNNNNNNNNNNNNNNNNNNNNNNNNNNNNNNNNNNNNNNNNNNNNNNNNNNNNNNNNNNNNNNNNNNNNNNNNNNNNNNNNNNNNNNNNNNNNNNNNNNNNNNNNGUGGUCGAAGAGAAGGUUGCUUGGCAAAAGUCAAUGUGCGCAUCCCCAAGAAGCGUAAGCUUGGACCAAAGACUGUGGACUGUGUUAAUUUGGGGUACGCUAAGAAUAGCAUAGGCUAUAGAUUUCUAGUAGUGAAAUCUGAGGUACCUGAUGUGAAGGUCGGUACAAUUAUGGAGUCGAGGGAUGCUACAUUCUUUGAGGAUAUUUUUCCCAUGAGAGAUAUGCAAAGCACUUUUAGACAGGAAUAUGAGGAAACUCCUGAGCCUGCCAUUUGUCACAUCCCUAAAUCCCUAAUAGACUAUAGCAAGUUUGUGCUCAUGUCUUCUUCUUUGCAUCCAAUUAAAUAAAAUGAAAUCAAAGCAAAGAAAACAAAAGCAACCCUAGCAACUCUAUAUUCAAAAGCAAUUCAAAUUUGGUGGCAAAUUAAAGAUUCCAAAAUGGCUAUUAGAAAAGUUCAUCAUUUCUGAUAUAUGUUGAAAACAAAAUAUCAGGGGUGAAAUAUAUUUUCAAAAUUCUUUUGGCAUUUUAUUUUAAAUUUAAAAGUCACUGAAAUCAACUAUAUAAUUGAUUUCAAAUAUUCCAAAGUUUCCAAAAAUCCUGAAACUUUUAUAUAUGUUUGCAAAUAUUCCAAAUAACACUUCAGCAUGUUUCAAACUAUUUUAGGAAAAGUUUGUAGCCAAAAAAAACAUAUCAGAAAUGUUUUAACGGAAACAGAAAUGAGAAAAAAAUGGAAAAGGAGUUAUCAAACGCUUACCUGGCCCAAGCCCAGCUUCUCCCCUGUCGUCUACCUUCUGCCAGUCGGCAGCAGGAGGUGGCCACCGCUCCCUCCGGCGCGGCCACGCACCUGCGUGCCUGCCUGGCCGCUGCUUCGCGCUGGCGAGGAAGGGAUAACCCUCCCCGAGCUCAUUCCCAUCCUCUCCCCCUCCUCACUCGCCCCCUGUGUCUCUUCCCCUCUCGGCCGCCAAUGUUGCGAGCUCGAGCUCGAGCUAGCCAUCGCUCCGGUCGUCCUCCCUCGCCUCUGAGUGUGCCGUUCGCUCCGCCUCGACGAGCUGGUCGUCCCUGCCAAAGGAGAAGAGCCCCCAAGCCCUGCAUCGCCCUCGUCAUCGUCGUCUUCAACCUUCGGCCGCCGGCAAGCCAUCGUCGAUUCAUCGGAUCCAAUGCCUCCCCGAGCAGCCUCAACAUCCCUUCGUCACCGCAGUGAGCUCCGGAGUGUUUCCCCCCAUUUUCCCCUCUCUUUCCUGAGCUCUAGGCCCAGUUUCACCGAAGCCCGACGAGGACCGCCGCUGUAGCUCGUCACGGGUGACCCUACGGUGACCGGUUGGUCCAUCCGAGGCCUGCAAAAGCUUCAACUUGUCGCAUAGGUGCUUUAGGAGCCCAACCCCAUGUGUUUUGCCCCCGUUUUCGAUGACCUCGAUGAUGGCCGAGCCUCGGCUGCCGCCAAGCUCGUCGCCGGCAUCGAUUCCGGCCACCCCAGCCUCCGGGGUUUGCUCCAUCGUGCGCGCCAUCGAGUGGCCGUUCUCCCACUGCCUUCUGUCGCUCGAAUGGACAUCGGAGACGCGUUUCCGACGCCCUCCGCCGUCUCUGGUGUUGCCGGAGGCUCACCGCCGACGAGAUCGACCUCGUCGCCUGUGGGUUCAACCCCCUCAGCCUAUGACAGGUGGGGUCAGCCCCUGAGUAGUUAAGUUUAAGUUAAUGAAAAUAAAUAAUUAAUUAAAUCCCUAAGGAGCCACCGACAUGUGGGUCCAGUUCUGUUAAUAGCUAUGUAAGUUUAAUCUUAAUCUAAAAACUGGCCAGAGUCACCGACGAGUGGGUCCGAGUGGUCAGGUUUGACUUUCAACGGCGAGCUGACCUGCUAAUGUCAUGCUGAUGCAAUAAAUCUAAUUCUGGUUUUAAUAUAAUUCCAGAAUAUUUGCAAGACUUUGGAAAUUCAUAGAAAGUUGAAUAUAACUCCAAAUCAGACAAAUAAUAUAUGCAAAUUGAUCAGAAAAAUUUAAUGAACACAAUGGUGCUACUUUCAUGCAUGAAAAAAAAGUUAUGAAACAACAUCAGGUCAAAUCAAUUAAAUGAUUAAGAUGAAUAGGCCAUUUCAAAUAAUAAUUGAAUUUGGAUUUCAAACCGGAUGCAAACUAAGGUUUCACCAACCACACUGAAACAUAUCACCCUUCAUUUCAUGUCAUGUUCAUGCAUCAUGAUUGUUGCAUAUGAUUGUUAUUAAUUGUAUGUUGUUAUUCAGUAGGCCCCGCCCCUCCGGAUACGACUCAUUAUCCGAGUGACGGAUGUCACCCCUCUGCUGAGCAACAAGGCAAGCAACCAUUUUGAUCAUCCCGAUAAAUCCCAUCUUCUCGCUCCCGCUCUUACUUAUUGCAUUAGGUAAAAAUGUUUUCAAUGCUUUUACCAUGUUAGUUGAACCCAUUCCUUUGCAUGACCUCUCUUUGUCACAAUAAUUAGCUAAACAUUGCAACCUAGCAUACCUGGUAGAUGCUUGAGGCAUGAUGUGUCUUAUCCUGCUAUGCAUGCUAUGCUUAGAGUUAUGUAUGGUCUAUCAUCUGGGCGAUGAACAGGAUCGUGAGAAAGUGUUCUGUUAAUAAAGGUUGUGUCUUGAACCUGUUUUGGUAAAGGUACCAAUGAAAGGCUAUGUAGGAGUACAUGGCGGGUUAUUUCAUUGGAACCCUCCUUAGGAAUUGAGUUCCGUGUAUGUAAUCCAAGACAAGAUACUACCACAUGCUGGGCCCUGAAAUAUGACCCGGCUCGACUUAUUAAUCGCCUAGUACUUGGUCCAGGAGUUGCAAGUAGUUUCUGGUGUUUAUAGUCAUGCUGGAGGCCGUGCAUAUUGUUGACCUCAGAGAUGGGCUAUCAUGCGGUAGGCAGUGGCACGGUGUACCAAGUGGCACCCGGAUGGUGGGCUUGGGAACCCUGUGCACAUUGUUUGGGGUCGUGGCGGAAACCUCGGCCGGACUUCCAUGCGGGUUACCCUCAGAUAGGCGAUAAACCUGGACUAGGUAUUAGCGUGGUUAACGGCCGUGGCCGACUCCCUUGCUGGGCUUCCGCUUGAAGGUUGCCGAGGUGCAUGACGUGCACGUAGCGAUAAGUGGCGAGAGCGUGUGUGAAAAAGUACACCCCUGCAGGGUUAUGAUCUAUUCGAAUAGUCGCGUCCGCGGAUAUGGACUACUUGGAAACAUAUGUUGUUCAUAGACAACUAUAAUGGCUACUAAUAAAAAUGUCAAGAUAAGUGUGAGUGUCGUGGAUGGCAUUUCCGUAGGGAGACGGAAUGAUUCCAUGAUGGUGUAUUGUUAUGGAGUUAGUGGACUCGUGUGCGAGAAAACAAAGUUCUCAAAACUAUUUAAAAAUGUAGUUUUGUCUAGCCAAGAGUCAAAUGCUGGCUUUCUGCAUGAAACCCCACAACUCCUUGUUGAUACAUUGCAUGAGUAGAUAGAUUAUUCUAAAGUCUUGUUGAGUACUUUUGUACUCACGUUUGCCUAAUAAAUUGUUGCAGAGGUCGUUAAUGACCCUAAUGGUGGUUUCUAUCUAGACGUUGACGACGACGAGGAGCUGGUGUCCCAACUACGAUCUGGCCCUAGGUUGGGUCUGUAGAUAGUCAGGCCAUGUGCCUUUUACCUUUCCAUUUGUCUGUACUCAGACAGUUUUAAUCUUCCGUUGGCUUGUAAGACUUGUUUGAAUGACUUGUGAUGAUGGUUCGUGAGGCCCCUAUCUGUGUAAUAUUAUGUGUGAGGCUCUUCCGAGCCUUCUAAAUAAAGUUUGUAUGUUUAUGGUUAUGUUGUGAUGCCAUCGAUGUAUCUAUGCAUAUCGGUAUAACAUGCAUACGUGUGUUGUACUUGAUAUGUAUGGGGUUUGAACACCUAGUCGUACGCCUUAGUAGCACUCCUUACGGGGAAAUGCCCCUUUGUGUUUCCACCGAGCCAUGGUAGUUCGCUACUGCUCCGGACACAUUGGUUGACCGACAUGUGUCCUUCUUAGAUGCCGUGUCUGUCCCUUUGGGGAAAUGUCACGCGGUGUAAUGGAGUCCUUGUAGCUUUCUAUGACUCGUCUACACUCGCUGAUGACCGACACCUGCUUUGCUGGGUCAUGUAUGCCUGUCUCUGUACGGAACCGCCAC